rnacentral:rRNA from 1 species
UGCAAGUCGAACGGUAGCACAGAGAGCUUGCUCUCGGGUGACGAGUGGCGGACGGGUGAGUAAUGUCUGGGAAACUGCCUGAUGGAGGGGGAUAACUACUGGAAACGGUAGCUAAUACCGCAUAACGUCGCAAGACCAAAGAGGGGGACCUUCGGGCCUCUUGCCAUCAGAUGUGCCCAGAUGGGAUUAGCUAGUAGGUGGGGUAACGGCUCACCUAGGCGACGAUCCCUAGCUGGUCUGAGAGGAUGACCAGCCACACUGGAACUGAGACACGGUCCAGACUCCUACGGGAGGCAGCAGUGGGGAAUAUUGCACAAUGGGCGCAAGCCUGAUGCAGCCAUGCCGCGUGUAUGAAGAAGGCCUUCGGGUUGUAAAGUACUUUCAGCGGGGAGGAAGGUGUUGUGGUUAAUAACCGCAGCAAUUGACGUUACCCGCAGAAGAAGCACCGGCUAACUCCGUGCCAGCAGCCGCGGUAAUACGGAGGGUGCAAGCGUUAAUCGGAAUUACUGGGCGUAAAGCGCACGCAGGCGGUCUGUCAAGUCGGAUGUGAAAUCCCCGGGCUCAACCUGGGAACUGCAUUCGAAACUGGCAGGCUGGAGUCUUGUAGAGGGGGGUAGAAUUCCAGGUGUAGCGGUGAAAUGCGUAGAGAUCUGGAGGAAUACCGGUGGCGAAGGCGGCCCCCUGGACAAAGACUGACGCUCAGGUGCGAAAGCGUGGGGAGCAAACAGGAUUAGAUACCCCUGGUAGUCCACGCCGUAAACGAUGUCGAUUUGGAGGUUGUGCCCUUGAGGCGUGGCUUCCGGAGCUAACGCGUUAAAUCGACCGCCUGGGGGAGUACGGCCGCAAGGUUAAAACUCAAAUGAAUUGACGGGGGCCCGCACAAGCGGUGGAGCAUGUGGUUUAAUUCGAUGCAACGCGAAGAACCUUACCUGGUCUUGACAUCCACAGAACUUUCCAGAGAUGGAUUGGUGCCUUCGGGAACUGUGAGACAGGUGCUGCAUGGCUGUCGUCAGCUCGUGUUGUGAAAUGUUGGGUUAAGUCCCGCAACGAGCGCAACCCUUAUCCUUUGUUGCCAGCGGUUAGGCCGGGAACUCAAAGGAGACUGCCAGUGAUAAACUGGAGGAAGGUGGGGAUGACGUCAAGUCAUCAUGGCCCUUACGACCAGGGCUACACACGUGCUACAAUGGCGCAUACAAAGAGAAGCGACCUCGCGAGAGCAAGCGGACCUCAUAAAGUGCGUCGUAGUCCGGAUUGGAGUCUGCCAGAAUGCUACGGUGAAUACGUUCCCGGGCCUUGUACACACCGCCCGUCACACCAUGGGAGUGGGUUGCAAAAGAAGUAGGUAG